rnacentral:rRNA from 1 species
AUUGAACGCUGGCGGCAGGCCUAACACAUGCAAGUCGAGCGAGCGGCGGACUGGUGAGUAAUGUAUGGGGAUCUGCCUGACCGAGGGGGAUAACUACUGGAAACGGUGGCUACUACCGCAUACUAUCCGAUGAACCCUUAGGGGAUUAGCUAGUCGGUGUGGUAAAGGCUCACAUAGGCGACGAUCGCUAGCUGGUCUGAGAGGAUGAUCAGCCACACUGGGACUGAGACACGGCCCAGACUCCUACGGGAGGCAGCAGUGGGGAAUAUUGCACAAUGGGCGAAAGCCUGAUGCAGCCAUGCCGCGUGUAUGAAGAAGGCCUUAGGGUUGUAAAGUACUUUCAGCGGGGAGGCGUUACCCAAAGAAGAAGCAACGGCUAACUCCGUGCCAGCAGCCGCGGUAAUUC